CAGCAGCCGCGGUAAUACGUAGGUGGCAAGCGUUGUCCGGAAUUAUUGGGCGUAAAGGGCUCGCAGGCGGUUUCUUAAGUCUGAUGUGAAAGCCCCCGGCUCAACCGGGGAGGGUCAUUGGAAACUGGGAAACUUGAGUGCAGAAGAGGAGAGUGGAAUUCCACGUGUAGCGGUGAAAUGCGUAGAGAUGUGGAGGAACACCAGUGGCGAAGGCGACUCUCUGGUCUGUAACUGACGCUGAGGAGCGAAAGCAUGGGGAGCGAACAGGAUUAGAUACCCCUGUAGUCCCUGUCUCUUAUAC
rnacentral:rRNA from 1 species